AUGGGAUGGAGCUGGAUCAUCCUCUUCCUUGUGUCAAUAAUUACAGGUGUCAAAACUCAGGUCCAGCUGCAGCAGUCUGGGCCUGAGCUGGGGAAACUUGGGUCCUCAGUGAAGUUGUCCUGCAAGGCUUCUGGCUACACCUUCACCAGCUACUAUAUGCACUGGGUGAAGCAGAGGGCGGGUCAGGGCCUGGAGUGGAUUGGAAUUAUUGCUUGUGGAACUGGUGAAACUAGCUACAGUCAGAAGUUCCAGGGCAAGGCCAAACUGACUAUAGACAAAUCCUCCAGCACAGCCUACAUGGAGCUCAGCAGGCUGACAUCUGAGGACUCUGCGGUCUAUUACUGUGCAAGACACACAGUGCUGCAACCCACAUCCUGA